rnacentral:rRNA from 1 species
UACGUAGGGGGCAAGCGUUGUCCGGAAUCAUUGGGCGUAAAGAGCGUGUAGGCGGCCCGGUAAGUCCGCUGUGAAAGUCCAGGGCUCAACCCUGGGAUGCCGGUGGAUACUGUCGGGCUCGAGUCCGGAAGAGGAGUGUGGAAUUCCUGGUGUAGCGGUGAAAUGCGCAGAUAUCAGGAGGAACACCAAUGGCGAAGGCAGCUCGCUGGGACGGUACUGACGCUGAGACGCGAAGGCGUGGGGAGCAAACAGG